UGAUCAUGGCUCAGGACGAACGCUGGCGGUGUGCUUCACACAUGCAAGUCGAACGAGGUAGCAAUACCUAGUGGCGGACGGGUGAGUAACGCGUGGGAAUCUGCCUUUAGAUGGGGGAUAACGAGCCGAAAGGUUCGCUAAUACCGCAUAGGUCGCAAGAUUAAAGGAGUAAUCCGUCUAGAGAUGAGCCCGCGUCCGAUUAGCUAGUUGGUAGGGUAAAGGCCUACCAAGGCGACGAUCGGUAGCUGGUCUGAGAGGAUGAUCAGCCACAAUGGGACUGAGACACGGCCCAUACUCCUACGGGAGGCAGCAGUGGGGAAUUUUACGCAAUGGGCGAAAGCCUGACGUAGCGACACCGCGUGAGCGAAGAAGCCCUUUGGGGUGUAAAGCUCUGUCGGCUGGAACGAAAAAAGUGACGGUACCAGCAAAGGAAGCAUCGGCUAACUACGUGCCAGCAGCCGCGGUAAGACGUAGGAUGCGAGCGUUGUCCGGAUUUAUUGGGCGUAAAGAGUUCGUAGGUGGCUUGUCAAGUUUGAUGUUAAAGAUCGGGGCUCAACCCUGGGACUGCAUUGAAUACUGGCAGGCUUGAGUGUGGUAGAGGCUAGUGGAAUUCCCAGUGUAGCGGUGAAAUGCGUAGAUAUUGGGAAGAACACCGGUGGCGUAGGCGACUAGCUGGGCCAUAACUGACACUGAGGAACGAAAGCCAGGGUAGCGAAUGGGAUUAGAUACCCCAGUAGUCCUGGCCGUAAACGAUGGAUACUAGGCGUAUCGGGUAUCGACCCCUGAUGUGCCGCAGCUAACGCGAUAAGUAUCCCGCCUGAGUAGUACGGCCGCAAGGUUGAAACUCAAAUGAAUUGACGG
rnacentral:rRNA from 1 species